rnacentral:rRNA from 1 species
CGGGGGGCAGCAGUGGGGAAUCUUAGACAAUGGGCGCAAGCCUGAUCUAGCCAUGCCGCGUGAUCGAUGAAGGCCUUAGGGUUGUAAAGAUCUUUCGUGGGGGAAGAUAAUGACGGUACCCCAAGAAGAAGCCCCGGCUAACUCCGUGCCAGCAGCCGCGGUAAUACGGAGGGGGCUAGCGUUAUUCGGAAUUACUGGGCGUAAAGCGCACGUAGGCGGAUUGAAAAGUCAGAGGUGAAAUCCCAGAGCUCAACUUUGGAACUGCCUUUGAAACUCUCAGUCUUGAGGUCGAGAGAGGUGAGUGGAAUUCCGAGUGUAGAGGUGAAAUUCGUAGAUAUUCGGAGGAACACCAGUGGCGAAGGCGGCUCACUGGCUCGAUACUGACGCUGAGGUGCGAAAGCGUGGGGAGCAAACAGGAUUAGAUACCCGAGU